CACAAAACACAAUAAUCUUAGAUACAAUUAUAAGAUAUAAUUGCUCACUUAAACAUACAAAGCCUGGUACCAUCCAUCCCUUAGGAACAUUGAUAACAACCUGUAAAUACACAGUGCAAAAUCUUUAUGUCAGCCUCCAUUGUCCUGCCACGGCUUCUCUCUCUCCUCUCCUCCCCCCGUCUCUUCCUUUCUCUUCUAGUCUCCUCCUCUUCCUUCAAACUUCUCUCCUGCCCAUCCUUCCUUCUCCUCCAAUGACAGGACUCCUUCUAUCCAGUACCUGCCCCUCACCUUUACUUAACAAAUUCAAUGGGGAGAAGGUUCUGGUGAAGUCACCUGAUUCCUGAGUAUGUUACUAGGCAGCUGUCCUUGGGGCAGUGGAAUUAGCAUUAAAAUACAGAUAACUUCAGGGCAAACCACAACAAUGCUGUUUCGUGACUUUUACUUGAUGGUUUUUGACUUUGUAUUUCUAUUCCUUUGCAUAUGGCAGAGUUGUAUCAUUGAUAACAUCUUACAAAUCUAUAUUUUGAUCAUAUAGUAUGAUCUUGUGGUGGGAGAUUUGCUUUGUAAAUAUCCAUCUCUGUCUGAGGCUAGACUUCUAGGCUCAUGUCCCUAUUCAAAUAUUUAAAAUACAACCUGGGACCUGUAAACAAUAGAGACUUCAGAAUGGCAGCAUAUGUGGAGUGCCAGUUGUGUUCUAGCUUGUGUUGUCUUUGAGCAUUAACUGCAGCUGUGUGUAGGUUGUUAGUAAAAUGAUAUUUUAAAUCUUUUUAAUAUGUAGAGUAAUUUCUUCCAAGAAAUGCAUGCUAUUUCUAGAACAACUACUUCCAGUCUAGAAUGAUAUUUGUAAGAAAAACUCCUUUAGGUGGACCUUGAUUCCAUUGUUCUUCCACGGGGCAGUAAUGUGUUGUCUCCUAGACUAACCUAGCUAAAAUCUUAAAUUAGCUGGCUUUACCACCACUCAGUAUUAUAAUUACCUGUUUGAGUCAUGUUGUCAUGACUCAACAUGAGUAAGGAUUUUA
rnacentral:lncRNA from 1 species